UACGAAGGGUGCAAGCGUUACUCGGAAUUACUGGGCGUAAAGCGUGCGUAGGUGGUGAGUUAAGUCUGUCGUGAAAGCCCCGGGCUCAACCUGGGAAUGGCGAUGGAUACUGGCUCGCUAGAGUGCGGUAGAGGAGAGUGGAAUUCCCGGUGUAGCAGUGAAAUGCGUAGAGAUCGGGAGGAACAUCAGUUGCGAAGGCGGCUCUCUAGUACGGUACUGACGCUGAGACGCGAAAGCGUGGGGAGCGAACGAG
rnacentral:rRNA from 1 species